CUCUGGUGAUUAGUGCAGUUCAGCACCUUUUCAGAUUCCUGUUGGCCAUUUGUGGAGUCUCACUCUGUAGCCCAAGCUGGAGUGGCGUGAUCUCGACUCACUGCAACCUCCGCCUCCUGGGAUCAAGUGAUUCUCGUGCCUCAGCCUCCUGAGUAGCCGGGACUACAGUUGUCCCUUGGUGUGGGAUUGCUUCCAGUACCUCUGUGUGUAACAAAAGCUGCACCAUUCAAGUCCCACAGUUGCCCUGCGAAACCUCUGUAUAUGAAAAGUUGGCCCUCCAUGUACAUGGGUUUCCCAUCCUGUCACAGAAUUUUCCACACUCCUUGACAGAGGUGCUUAACCCUUAUCCAUCAGCAUUCUCAGACAGCACCUCCGGUUAGGGACAGUAUCUGACCGUCCGACAUCCCUGCAGCCCCCAUGUGUCACACAGACUCAGCCUCAGGUAGAUGGUUUCCGUAGAUGGUGGCUUUCUUUGGACCCUUGACAUCAACCAGUUACUAUUUGACUCUUCUGCAGAACCCCAUGUUGACCCCUGCUUUGAGGUGGCAGAGUUAACACUACUCUUCGUUAUAAGCUCUCGUCUGGGGCAACUCAGAAGAACG
rnacentral:lncRNA from 10 species